UCUUUGGAUACAGUGGCGAACGGGUGAGUAACACGUAGGGAACCUGGCCAUACCUGGGGGAUAAUUUCUGGAAACGGAAACUAAUACCGCAUGGGUUUUGCUUAAGCCUUUAAGCGAAAUGAAAGAAGCGCGAGACGCUUCGGGGAUGGAUGGUCCUGCGCUGCAUUAGCUGGCUGGUGAGGCAACGGCUCACCAGGGCGAUGAUGCAUAGCCGGCCUGAGAGGGCGGACGGCCACACUGGGACUGAGACACGGCCCAGACUCCUGCGGGAGGCAGCAGUAGGGAAUUUUCGUCAAUGGGGGCAACCCUGAACGAGCAAUGCCGCGUGAGCGAAGAAGGUCUUCGGAUUGUAAAGCUCUGUUGCCGGGGAAAAAGGAAGGAAAGAGGAAAUGCUUUUCUUUGGAUGGUACCCGGCCAGAAAGUCACGGCUAACUACGUGCCAGCAGCCGCGGUAAUACGUAGGUGGCAAGCGUUAUCCGGAAUGAUUGGGCGUAAAGGGUGAGCAGGCGGUUCUUCAAGUCAUGAGUGAAAGGCAGAAGCUUAACUUCUGUUGGCUGAUGAGACUGGAGAACUUGAGUACAGGAGAGGGCGGCGGAACUCCAUGUGUAGCGGUAAAAUGCGUAGAGAUAUGGAAGAACACCAGUGGCGAAGGCGGCCGCCUGGACUGAAACUGACGCUCAGGCACGAAAGCGUGGGGAGC
rnacentral:rRNA from 1 species